rnacentral:rRNA from 1 species
GACAGAGGGGGCAAGCGUUGCUCGGAAUCACUGGGCGUAAAGGGCGCGUAGGCGGGAUGGCAAGUCAGUCGUGAAAUCUCUCGGCUCAACCGAGAAACGUCGGCUGAUACUGCCGUUCUUGAGGGAUGCAGAGGUGAGUGGAAUUCUCGGUGUAGUGGUGAAAUGCGUAGAUAUCGAGAGGAACACCAGUGGCGAAGGCGGCUCACUGGGCACCACCUGACGCUGAGGCGCGAAAGCGUGGGGAGCAAACAGG